AUUGAACGCUGGCGGCAUGCUUUACACAUGCAAGUCGAACGGUAACAGGUUAAGCUGACGAGUGGCGAACGGGUGAGUAAUGCAUCGGAACGUGCCCGAUCGUGGGGGAUAACGCAGCGAAAGCUGCGCUAAUACCGCAUACGAUCUGGGGAUGAAAGCGGGGGACCGUAAGGCCUCGCGCGAUCGGAGCGGCCGAUGUCAGAUUGGGUAGUUGGUGGGGUAAAGGCCCACUAAGCCGACGAUCUGUAGCUGGUCUGAGAGGACGACCAGCCACACUGGGACUGAGACACGGCCCAGACUCCUACGGGAGGCAGCAGUGGGGAAUUUUGGACAAUGGGCGAAAGCCUGAUCCAGCAAUGCCGCGUGCAGGAAGAAGGCCUUCGGGUUGUAAACUGCUUUUGUACGGAGCGAAAAGGUCCUUUCUAAUACAAGGGGCUCAUGACGGUACCGUAAGAAUAAGCACCGGCUAACUACGUGCCAGCCGCCGCAGUAAAAC
rnacentral:rRNA from 1 species